rnacentral:lncRNA from 1 species
GCUCAAUUCAUUCAUUCGUCUAAGCCAUGUGUAACAUAUUGUACAUAGUCUUUGUGCUCGCUUCUUUGGUUAAUAUUUCUUUUUGUCUAAAAGAAAACUUCGAUAACGACUUUAAAAAUGCAAAUAUAAUGGAGUAUGGUGCGUAGAUUAACUUCAAACUAUUUAAAAAAAAAGGUUGAUAAUAAAAAACUCAAUUAAUAAUUUCAUUGAAUAUACAAAAUAAAAAUAUAAAAGUUUUACAAAUACAUCCGAAAGUAAAUCUGCAAUAAAAGAAACUAGUGUUAAAUGUACGAUGAAGAUUACAUAAAUUUUAAAGCAUUGCUUUUUGUUAUAAAGUGUACUUUUAUUUCAUUUACAAAUUUUUAUAGUCAUACAUUGACUUAGAUGAGAUUGGUUCAAAUUGUUCAAUGACACGUGGCACAUUGAGUGUCUAUACGCUUAUGGAAACUUUUUUAGUCGACCUUCCUUCAUAUUUCUCAUCUUACUGAGCCUUAGAUCAGAAUGUAUAUUACAUAUUUCACAAAAUAAUAGGUAACGACAAUAUAAAUAAUUUAAACAUUCUCGGCUCGUGGAAAGGACAAAGGAUAGAAUGUGCCACUUAGUGUAAUACAUUGUGGCCUUAACCACAAAAAUCUUCUGGCUCGAUCCGUUGAGCGCCUUACAUUCAUUAGCGUGUUAUCAAAAGGUUUUGUUCCUGUUGUUCUUUGCUGUUCUUUACUAAUAAUUUUCUUCCAAUAUUAACGUUUAAGGGCAAUGCUGCUGAUAUUAACUGUUUUUAAUAGUUUUAUUAAAAGAAUACUCAUAAAGUCGCAGUCACAAGGAAUAUUUCAAUUUUCAACUAAAUUAAAUAGCUCAGUUUCAAUAAAUCAAGAAAUCUUGAACGAAACAGAAUUAAUGGAUACGUGUUUUUACUAAAAAAUUGUUACCUCUUUUAAAUAUCACUGAGAGAACGAUUAGUUAUGAUAUACCUUUACUGAAUGGAAUGAAAUGGGUUAUUCAAAAUGAAGGUUUGCAUUACAUAUUAAAGAUAAACUGUGCGGUUACACAUGAGCUAUGGAUGCUUUAAAUAAUUUAAAAGUUAUUUUUCUUAGAUAACAACGAAGGAGGAUAUCAAUAUAUUCCACCGCCGAACAACCACUAUUUACCACCGGCUACGUCACCACCUGCUCCGGAGUAUGGGCAUGAGCCUUCAGGUUUUCAUCCGUGGUACGGGUCUAGACCGCACUACUAUAAGCCACAAGGUCCAAUUCCAUACCAUUCGCAUAGCUCUUGGCUUUUGGAACAACUAAAGUCCAAAAUAAACCUUUAUACGCUCGGCAAAAUAUUAUUAAAGAUUUUGAUUCUUAAAAAAACUAUUAAAUUUAUUGUACUAAUUUUUUUGCUUUUGGUUUUACCAAAGCUAAAGAAUAUUUUUAAAGAUGAAAUGGCUGCCGAAAGUGAGGGAACGGAAAGAAAAUUUCUGCAAACAGACAAAGGUAAGGAAUUCUAUAUGAAUAAAGUCAUUACAACUCAAAAAUAUAUUUUUCAGAUAACUUAGAACAACGAAUUGAAAAUCUAAGUGAAUUUAUCAUUAAUUCUCUACGUAAUUUUGAUCAAAGAAAUAUUUAGGUCCUACAAUACCAG